rnacentral:tRNA from 1 species
UGUAACUCAGUGAUAGAGCAUCUGCCUGACAUGCACAAGGUCCUGGGUUCAAUCCCCAGUA